rnacentral:lncRNA from 1 species
AAGAUUUAUGCUUCAGAUGCCUAGAGAUGCCUUUCCUUGACCGAUAGAUGCCAUGAGAACACCAGCCCUGAAUUAACGACUCUGUACUCCGAGAAAUCUACAGCCUCUCUAUAUUGUGCUUCUGUCCUGUGAGUGACGAGUCCCAAGGAUUUCUAUUUUUAGCAGUUUGUCUCUGUGGUUUUAGCAAUGUUCUUACUGCAUGAAAUUGUAGCUGUAACUGGUACCUGAACUGGCUCUAAACAAGUACAAUCCCAGCAAUCUUGGCCAUUGUCCACCUGCCUGUGUUGACAUUUCCCUCAGCUAUAAGAAUGAUUUAAAGCCCAGAAUGAACCUCUGUGAUGAUUUCUAUCUGGGACGAGUGGAUCUAACUUUAAGACACUGGAGGCAGAGCGGAAGAAGGCCAAAGUCGGCAGGAUGACCACAAAAGCUGAACAGACGUCUUUACUCCGGUGCAAUAGAAAAGACGUUUUCUGCUAUGCUUCAUGAGCACACAGCUCAAAUUUCAAAAAUCUGAUCUUGCUUGUCAGCCCCCUGCCUCUGUUAUUCUGCUCCUCACCUGCAAGCUGAAAAUCUUCGUUCACUAUAGGAAGACAAACUCCUUCUCAGGCAGGAAGCCUGCCGGGCUUUCCCUGGGUCCGGAGCCGCUCUCCACCCGGCCCGCUUCAUCUUCAGCAGGACCCACCCCCAGCUAUCGCCUCUGUCCGGGAUGCCCGCGGAAGUCUGCUCUCCCUCAGGGUGACUACACUGUCAUGGCCUGCCACUAAGUCACCUGUGCUCCCUGCUAGAGGUAAUACCGUUGAGGACAGAGACUAGGACAGUAAGAGCAGCGGCAGUGUAACACUAGUAGAAAUAAGAAUUAACAUUUAUUAGCACCUACUAUGU